UGCAGUGUGUGUUGGUGGGGUGUGCGACGCAGGAAAGGGGAGGAGAGGGGAAAACCCUUCUUCUCCAAAUCAUCAAGAACCUAACAAUUGGAGGCGUUUAUGGAUGAAAUCCGUAUGCAUGUGAUCAAUUUCUCAAUCAUCUCUGGGUUUCCAACAUGGGGUAUCGCAUGAGCAUGGAAGGCAAAUGGGUCAAGAGGAAGCAAGAAAGCGAAUGCGAAUAGGAACGCUUAAGGUGUCGUUCGGGUUUCCUCUACCACUAGUGAAGUGAAGCAGACAUAGAUCGAGUUGAGAGCAAGGAUUGUACGGGAAAGAAAGGUCUCAUAGUUUGUUUUAAACAGGUCA